AGCAUUGAUGAUGCCUUCGAGCUGUCCCUGGAGGACGCGGGCCCUGGGCCCGAGUCCAGCGGGGUCGCGCGCUUUGGGCCGCUGCACUUCGAGCGUCGGGCCCGGUUCGAGGUGGCUGACGAGGACAAGCAGUCCCGGCUGCGCUACCAGAACCUGGAGAACGAUGAGGAUGGAGCCCAGGCCUCUCCGGAGCCGGAUGGGGGAGUCAGCACCAGCUCCCAGUGGUCCUUUAGCACCAUCAGCAGCGGCACCCAGCGCUCCUACAACACCUGCUGCAGCUGGACUCAACACCCUUUGAUCCAGAAGAACCGCCGAGUGGUGCUGGCCUCCUUCCUGCUCCUGCUGCUGGGGCUGGGUGAGUGGCCCUGAGGGUUGGGGUCAAGAGGGGCCCCGUGGGAGGCUCUGCCCUCCUUUUGUGCAGGCUCUGCUUCCCCCUUGACAUUGAGCCUCCCAGCAUCCUGGGGAGGCAGCUGGCUGCCAUCAUCACACUCCCAUUUUACAGGUGAGGAGACAGAGGCCUUGUGACCUGGGCACACAGCCAGGAAAUCACACAUAGCUGAAAAUGGAACCUGGCUUAUCACUCCAAAGACUUUUCCUUUUUUAAAAAAUUUAACCUGUUUAAUCCAUUAGGGGACAGAAGUGUAGCAGCUACCAUUUAUUCUGUGUCUGCUUUGGGCAAGGUGCAGGGCAGUUUUAUUUUCCCACCUUACAGAAGUCCUACAAGUGAGGUGGUGCCCAGAAGCCACGUGUAGGGGCUCAGGGAUGCCGAGUGCCCAGCCAGUGCAGAGCCGCAGGGCACCUGGCACUUCCCCUUGUCUGGCAUCUAAGCGCUGACAAGCACCCCUCUCCUACCCAUUG
rnacentral:sRNA from 1 species